rnacentral:rRNA from 1 species
GACGAACGCUGGCGGCGUGCCUAAUACAUGCAAGUUGAGCGCUGAAGGUUGGUACUUGUACCAACUGGAUGAGCAGCGAACGGGUGAGUAACGCGUGGGGAAUCUGCCUUUGAGCGGGGGACAACAUUUGGAAACGAAUGCUAAUACCGCAUAAAAACUUUAAACACAAGUUUUAAGUUUGAAAGAUGCAAUUGCAUCACUCAAAGAUGAUCCCGCGUUGUAUUAGCUAGUUGGUGAGGUAAAGGCUCACCAAGGCGAUGAUACAUAGCCGACCUGAGAGGGUGAUCGGCCACAUUGGGACUGGGACAAGGCCCAAACUCCUACGGGAGGCAGCAGUAGGGAAUCUUCGGAAAUGGACGAAAGUCUGACCGAGCAACGCCGCGUGAGUGAAGAAGGUUUUCGGAUCGUAAAACUCUGUUGGUAGAGAAGAACGUUGGUGAGAGUGGAAAGCUCAUCAAGUGACGGUAACUACCCAGAAAGGGACGGCUAACUACGUG